CGUCUUCGAUCUGUUGCGGGCAGAUGAAGUGGAUAUGGCUGUCAAACCCGCCUGCGGUCAGAAUGCGCCCUUCGCCCGCGAUCACUUCGGUUCCCGGCCCGAUAAUGAUGGUCACGCCCGGUUGCGUGUCAGGGUUGCCGGCCUUGCCGAUCUUGGCGAUGCGCCCGUCUUUCAGCCCGACAUCGGCUUUGAAGAUGCCAGUAUAGUCGACGAUCAGCGCAUUGGUGAUGACCGUAUCAACGGCUCCGCCUGCGCGGGUCACCUGGGACUGGCCCAUGCCGUCGCG
rnacentral:sRNA from 2 species